rnacentral:rRNA from 1 species
GACGAACGCUGGCGGCGUGCUUAACACAUGCAAGUCGAACGGAAAGGCCCUGCUUAUGUGGGGUGCUCGAGUGGCGAAAGGGUGAGUAACACGUGAGUAACCUGCCCUUGACUUUGGGAUAACUUCAGGAAACUGGGGCUAAUACCGGAUAGGAGCUCCUGCUACAUGGUGGGGGUUGGAAAGUUUCGGCGGUUGGGGAUGGACUCGCGGCUUAUCAGCUUGUUGGUGGGGUAGUGGCUUACCAAGGCUUUGACGGGUAGCCGGCCUGGGAGGGUGACCGGCCACAUUGGGACUAAGAUACGGACCAGACUCCUACGGGAGGCAGCAGUGGGGAAUAUUGCACAAUGGGCGGAAGCCUGAUGCAGCAACGCCGCGUGCGGGAUGACGGCCUUCGGGUUGUAAACCGCUUUCGACUGUGACGAAGCGUGAGUGACGGUAAUGGGUAAAGAAGCACCGGCUAACUACGUG